UACAGAGGUCUCAAGCGUUGUUCGGAUUCAUUGGGCGUAAAGGGUGCGUAGGUGGCGCCGUAAGUCGGGUGUGAAAUUUCGGAGCUUAACUCCGAAACUGCAUUCGAUACUGCGGUGCUUGAGGACUGGAGAGGAGACUGGAAUUCAUGGUGUAGCAGUGAAAUGCGUAGAGAUCAUGAGGAAGACCAGUGGCGAAGGCGGGUCUCUGGACAGUUCCUGACACUGAGGCACGAAGGCC
rnacentral:rRNA from 1 species